GACGAACGCUGGCGGCGUGCUUAACGCAUGCAAGUCGAACGGAAAGGCCCUGCUUUUGUGGGGUGCUCGAGUGGCGAACGGGUGAGUAACACGUGAGUAACCUGCCCUUGACUUUGGGAUAACUUCAGGAAACUGGGGCUAAUACCGGAUAGGAGCUCCUGCUGCAUGGUGGGGGUUGGAAAGUUUCGGCGGUUGGGGAUGGACUCGCGGCUUAUCAGCUUGUUGGUGGGGUAGUGGCUUACCAAGGCUUUGACGGGUAGCCGGCCUGAGAGGGUGACCGGCCACAUUGGGACUGAGAUACGGCCCAGACUCCUACGGGAGGCAGCAGUGGGGAAUAUUGCACAAUGGGCGGAAGCCUGAUGCAGCAACGCCGCGUGUGGGAUGACGGCCUUCGGGUUGUAAACCGCUUUCGCCUGUGACGAAGCGUGAGUGACGGUAAUGGGUAAAGAAGCACCGGCUAACUACGUG
rnacentral:rRNA from 1 species